AUUGAACGCUGGCGGCAGGCCUAACACAUGCAAGUCGAGCGAGCGGCGGACGGGUGAGUAAUGUCUGGGAAACUGCCUGAUGGAGGGGGAUAACUACUGGAAACGGUAGCUAAUACCGCAUACCAUCGGAUGUGCCCAGAUGGGAUUAGCUAGUAGGGGGGGUAAAGGCUCACCUAGGCGACGAUCCCUAGCUGGUCUGAGAGGAUGACCAGCCAAACUGGAACUGAGAAACGGGCCAGACGCCUACGGGAGGCAGCAGUGGGGAAUAUUGCACAAUGGGCGAAAGCCUGAUGCAGCCAUGCCGCGUGUAUGAAGAAGGCCUUCGGGUUGUAAAGUACUUUCAGCGGGGAGGCGUUACCCGCAGAAGAAGCACCGGCUAACUCCGUGCCAGCAGCCGCGGUAAUAC
rnacentral:rRNA from 1 species